CACGCCGUAAACGAUGAGUGCUAAGUGUUAGAGGGUUUCCGCCCUUUAGUGCUGCAGCAAACGCAUUAAGCACUCCGCCUGGGGAGUACGACCGCAAGGUUGAAACUCAAAGGAAUUGACGGGGGCCCGCACAAGCGGUGGAGCAUGUGGUUUAAUUCGAAGCAACGCGAAGAACCUUACCAGGUCUUGACAUCCUCUGACAAUCCUAGAGAUAGGACUUUCCCCUUCGGGGGACAGAGUGACAGGUGG
rnacentral:rRNA from 1 species